UAGUGGUUAGCCAAAUGGUAAGGCGUUAAGUUUUGAUCUUAAUUAUUGCUGGUUCGACUCCUGCACCUCUAG
rnacentral:tRNA from 1 species